GCUGUGAUGAAUUGUUUGUUUUUGAUCAGAAAUGAGUUGAAAUUACACAAGUAAUUCCUCUAAGAAGUUCUGAGCUC